CCAACCCUGCUGUAUGCGUGAUGGGUUGUAUGCGUUGAGCCAACGUUUUUUUUCAGGGGAUCGUUAUACGCCGAGGGGAUGUAGUAGCCCACGGUUCGCCGUUGGCCAGGCUGAUACUCGCGAAAAGAUUCCCACCUGCAGAAGCAGGUUCAAACUAUUAUGGCCCACACGGUAUGGCGGGGGCAGC
rnacentral:other from 1 species